rnacentral:ncRNA from 2 species
AAUGUCUUGUCGGGGUGCCUUAAUUAAAAGGCUGAGAUCACAAUGUGGAUCCCGUUGAACCUGAUCUGGUUAAUACCAGCGUAGGAAACAAGAUGAAAGAACGU